rnacentral:rRNA from 1 species
GACGAACGCUGGCGGCGUGCUUAACACAUGCAAGUCGAACGGAAAGGCCCUGCUUUUGUGCGUUGCUCGAGUGGCGAACGGGUGAGUAACACGUGAGUAACCUGCCCUUGACUUUGGGAUAACUUCAGGAAACUGGGGCUCAUACCGGAUAGGAGCUCCUGCUGCAUGGUGGGGGUUGGAAAGUUUCGGUGGUUGGGGAUGGACUCGCGGCUUAUCAGCUUGUUGGUGGGGUAGUGGCUUACCAAGGCUUUGACGGGUAGCCGGCCUGAGAGGGUGACCGGCCACAUUGGGACUGCGAUACGGCCCAGACGCGUACGGGAGGCAGCAGUGGGAAGUAUUGCGCAGUGGGGGGGAGCCAGAUGCAGAAACGCCGCGUGCGUGAUAACGGGCUUCGGGGUGUAAACCACUUUCGCCGGAGACGAAGCGUGAGUGACGGUAAUGGGUAAAGAAGCACCGGCUAACUACGUG